rnacentral:rRNA from 1 species
AUUGAACGCUGGCGGAAUGCUUUACACAUGCAAGUCGAACGGCAGCACGGACUUCGGUCUGGUGGCGAGUGGCGAACGGGUGAGUAAUGUAUCGGAACGUGCCCAGUCGUGGGGGAUAACGUAGUGAAAAUUACGCUAAUACCGAAUACGAUCUAUGGAUGAAAGCGGGGGAUCGCAAGACCUCGCGCGAUUGGCGCGGCCGAUAUCAGAUUAGGUAGGUGGUGGGGUAAAAGCCCACCAAUCCAACGAUCUGUAGCUGGUCUGAGAGAACGACCAGCCACACUGGAACUGAGACACGGUCCAGACUCCUACGGGAGGCAGGAGUGGGGAAUUUUGGAGAAUGGGCGAAGGCCUGAUGCAGCCAUUCCGCGUGCAGGAUGAAGGCCCUCGGGUUGUAAACUGCUUUUGUACAGAACGAAAAGGUUUCUACUAAUACUAGGAGCUCAUGACGGUACUGUAAGAAUAAGCACCGGCUAACUACGUGCCAGCCGCCGCAGUAA